UUACCCCCUCAAACUCAACCCAAUAAACAAAAAAAAAUCUUCAUAGAUCAAAGUGACGGCAGGUGCUUGGGACCUCAGUCCUCUGGCUAAUGGCAAGCCUUUGGAGAGGAGUUCCAAGGAGUCGCUUGAUGUUCCUUCGGGAUCACGGGAAAGCAGAACAGAUGGUACACUCAGGAGAUGUUGAUUCUUUUCCUUCUCUCUUCUCUUUACAGAGGAAGAAGCUGUUGGAGGAAAAUCCCUAACCUUCUAUCACUAGGAUGGAUAGAUGAGUGUAGGCUCCAGAUGUUCUUUCAUCAGCAACUUUCAUCAGCUCUUCCCUCUCCCUUCACCUUCAGACUAAACUGUUAUCUGUAUAAGCUACAUGACAAGAGAUAGAAUCAGCAUUCAAGUUUGAUACUGUACCACCAACGUGACUGAGAAUUAGGCCACGGACUUCAGUGGGAAUAGGAUCAGGCCCUUAGAUACCAAGAUCAUAGGCACCUUCGAAGUACCUAACACAGAUGGAAAAACUGGAGGGAAGUGAAGUGACCAAGGUCAAACUAUUUCAGUGGCAGAGUCCAGAUUUUCUGCUUCUUAGUCCACUGGAUCAUACUUGUGGAACCACCACUAUUUUGCCUUGUUCAAGGAUAGCAGUAAUAAAUCGUUGAGUAAUUAUUUAAAUCCAAA